UAUUGUGUGGACAAUCACUUCAAAGCCAUCGAAAUCAUCUCUAAGCUCUGUGGAGAAGAUGAUGAAGAUUAUUAUGCUCUUCAACAAACUGAAAUUCAGCGUUUGUCUUCCUCACUCACUUUCUUAAGAUCUUGCUGCCGCAAAGACUUUGUUCUGUAUGUUGGAGGGCAUGUUUGGACUUUGGAUUGGUGUCCUAGAAUUCAUGAAAUGCCUGACUAUCAUAUUAAACGUGAGCGUAAAUGAGGAAGAGGUGCCACCUUCAAUAGAAAAGUCAAAACAGGGAAAUAAAAACAAUGGGGCCAUGAAGGACAAAUCAACAUUAUCAAAGAGGCCAAGAGGAAGGCCUAGAUAGAAACCAAUAGAAGACAAUGACGCCGUAGCAACUCAAUCAAAGAGGCCUAGAGGAAGACCUAGAAAAAAUCCGAUGGAAAAUUCUCUCGAUAAUUUGGACUGCAACGACCAGUAUGUUCAAGGUCUUGCUGUUCAACUUUCAGAAAAUUCAUCAGAAGCACAUGCUGUGGAUGGGGUUCCUAGGGAUGCCCAAGAACAUUCUGUACAAGAAGAAAGUGGUGGGAGGUUCCUCUUCCUUGUACAAUGAAAGUUAUCUAUUCUUCUGUGCAUCAGGAGGGUACUGAUCCCUGCUUUGUAAAAUUGGAGUCUGUAUUCAGAUGCUCAAUGUUGAAAUGCGGUGGCAUACAGAGGCAACCGUCUUUGUUGACCUUGUUAUUUGGUUUACUUUACAUGAUGAAAGGAUGAUUUGCACGCAUGAUUUUC